UACGUAGGUGGCAAGCGUUGUCCGGAUUUACUGGGCGUAAAGUGUGCGCAGGCGGCCGCGCAAGUCGAGUGUGAAAGCCCCGAGCUUAACUUGGGAAUUGCGCUCGAAACUACGUGGCUGGAGUGUGGCAGAGGAAGGUGGAAUUCCACGUGUAGCGGUGAAAUGCGUAGAGAUGUGGAGGAACACCAAUGGCGAAGGCAGCCUUCUGGGCCAACACUGACGCUCAUGCACGAAAGCGUGGGGAGCAAACAGG
rnacentral:rRNA from 1 species